AUGCGACAUACCAUCAGUUAUCAUGGACAACAGACAACUGGAAAGAAAGAAAAAAUAAUUGAACACUUGCUAGUUCAAGUCAACUUUUGUGGCAAUUACCAUUCUGAGGACAGACAAGCAAACAGAAGAACCAUCAAGGAACCAUGCAGAGACUUUCAGAAAGUCAGAAGGAGCUUGAAAUUCUGUCUGAAGAGAGUUCUCCCUUUCUCGUGGAACUGUUUGUUUGUUCCAUUGGUUUGCAAAUGAAGCACCCUGUCGUGCUGUGCUCGAGAGUUGAUGGAUGAAUCUGUUUUACACUAGAAAUGAUCUCUACACUGCUAGUCAAGCUCUUUUUGUCCCCCAUGGAUUCUGUGUAUGGCUGGUUUUCCCCAUACGGAAUAAGAAGUAAACAGAGACUGAUAGAUAUUGGCUUUCAAUCAUCUGAACUGUCAGCUGCUGUGCAUUAAGAAGUUAUCUAUGCCUUUAAUUGUGAGUAGGAAAGGGAUUUAGAGCUUGCAGAAGCGUAAUUGUUUCACAGUAAAUCUACAGAUAAGACCCUCUUCCUUACUGCCCACACACAGAUCCACUGACUUUAAAAUAUUAAAUUGUCCCUUUCCCUUCAAAUGCUAGUGCCUAAAACAAGAUCUAUUAUCCUGAAGCCUUCUUUGUAGCUUGGGCUUGAACAAAAUGUCAAUAUUGCAAACCAAUAACCAAAAUGAGGAAAUAUUAAAAUGAAGCAAAAGGCAGCCUUUACUAUUGCCAUAUUUCUUUACUGCAUUAAUUUUGAAACAUGCAUCUAUAUUCUGUCUAAUCCCAGUCUUAGUGCCAAAAGUUUUGGUAAUUGACAGGCUUCUUCCUAUAUGACUGUUGCUGGAGACAAGGUGUAAGUUUGUGGGGGAGGGCAAGGCAGGAGAAGAUGUUUAUCUUUUAAUGUGCUAAAUACUGAGAAAUUUUCUUUUCAAUGUACUUGAUCAGCUAAAAUAGGCUUGUUUUGAUGUCUGAAUCUCAAAGUUUGGUGAAUUGCUUAGUCUUUGUUAUAGAUGGGCUUGAAAUCAAGGGAGCAGAAUGCAAAAAAUGCUUAAGAAAAUCAGGUAAACAGUCCUGUGAUUAAAUAAGUAUCUGCAGUCUCCAUGGAGUUGCCUUUGUUUCUUUUGAGCUCUAUCAAAUUUAUUGUGUCCGUGUAGUAAGAACGCAAGAAUAUAUGCCUAUUUAGCAAAAAGUACCUGUGUAAACAAGCUAAUGAAAGUCCCAGUUGAUUGUAUUUCCUAGCCUGCCUAAGAAGGCAAGUGAUUUUGCUUAUUGAUAUUAUUAACAAAAGAAGAAUGCACUUCAGAAAAAAAAAUAAAAAAAUGUCUCUGUUUAUCA
rnacentral:lncRNA from 1 species